UAGCGAGGGGGGCAAAUGUUGUUCGGAAUCACUGGGCGUAAAGGGAGCGUAGGCGGUUUCUAAGUCAGGUGUUUAAUCCCGGGGCCCAACCCCGGACAGGCACUUGAAACUGGGAAUCUUGAAUAGUGGAGAGGUCAGUGGAAUUGGGGGUGUAGCGGUGGAAUGCGUAGAGAUCCCCAAGAACACCAGUUGCGAAGGCGGCUGACUGGACACAUAUUGACGCUGAGGCUCGAAAGCAUGGGGAGCAAACAGG
rnacentral:rRNA from 1 species